rnacentral:ncRNA from 1 species
UUAAAGUUUUAUCCUGGCUUAUUCUUUCAUUUUCAGAUUAAUAGUACAUGCAAAUUAUGGAUUUGAGUCUAAAUCUUCUUGGUGUUUAAUACUUUAAGAAGUAAAGUCUGUUUAAAGGAGUCAAUAAAACAUAAAUUCGCAGUAUUUAAUACUAAUUCAAUAAGUGAAAACUGGAAUUGGUAAUUCUGAUUGUAUACCUGGUUAAAAUUUGUGCCAGCAGCCGCGGUUAUACUGAGAGGUAAAGUGAAAGAUUUUUGGUUAAAAAUACUUAAGUGUUAGAUUUGUUUUAGGUGAAUUGUUUUGUGCUAAUAAAGGGUGAAAUCGAUUUUUUAUUGUAUAAAUAAUUUUGUUUAAUCUAAUGUGAUUGAGGUUGUUAAAGUUAAGGUAUGAACCAGGAUUAGAGACCCUGUUACACUUUACUUUAAGUUUAAAUACCUGGGUAGUAAGCAGUUAUAAUCUUGAAACUUAAAGGAUUUGGCGGUAAUUUAGUCUAGUUAGAGGAACCUGUCCUGUAAUCGAUAGUCCACGAAGAAUCUUACUUUAUUUUGAAUAUUUCAGUUUAUAUACCGUCAUUAUUAGAUAACUUUAAGAAAAUGUAGGAGUUAUUAUAAUAGUUUUGAGCUAGUAUAUUAGAUCAAGGUGUAGCUAAUGGUAAAGUAGAGAUGGGUUACAAUAAUAUUGGUUUAAUAAAACGGAUCAAAAGUAGAAAGCUUUUGUAAAGGAGGAUUUAAAUGUAAAGACAUUUUAACAUGAUGUCUUGAUUAUAGCUCUAGAUUAUGUACACAUCGCCCGUCGCUCUCGUUAUAUAAAGCGAGAUAAGUCGUAACAUAGUAGGUGUACCGGAAGGUGUACCUAGAAGUUU